UACGGGGGGGGCAAGCGUUGUUCGGAAUUACUGGGCGUAAAGCGCGUUCAGGCGGUCAGGCAAGUCGGGCAUGAAAUCUCUCGGCUCAACCGGGAGAGGUUGUCCGAUACUGCCGGACUGGAGGGCAGUAGAGGGUGGUGGAAUUCCGGGUGUAGUGGUGAAAUGCGUAGAUAUCCGGAGGAACACUAGUGGCGAAAGCGGCCACCUGGACUGUACCUGACGCUGAAACGCGAAAGCUAGGGGAGCGAACGGG
rnacentral:rRNA from 1 species